GUCAUAUGCUUGUCUCAAAGAUUAAGCCAUGCAUGUCUCAGUACAAGCCAAAUUAAGGUGAAACCGCGAAAGGCUCAUUAAAUCAGUUAUGGUUCCUUAGAUCGUACCCACAAUUACUUGGAUAACUGUGGUAAUUCUAGAGCUAAUACAUGCAAACAGAGCUCCGACCGGAGACGGAAGGAGUGCUUUUAUUAGAUCAAAACCAAUCGGUGGCGAGUUCGCUCGUUAUCGUACAACUUGGUGACUCUGAAUAACUUUACGCUGAUCGCACGGUCAUCGCACCGGCGACGCAUCUUUCAAAUGUCUGCCUUAUCAACUGUCGAUGGUAGGUUUUGCGCCUACCAUGGUUGUAACGGGUAACGGGGAAUCAGGGUUCGAUUCCGGAGAGGGAGCCUGAGAAACGGCUACCACAUCCAAGGAAGGCAGCAGGCGCGCAAAUUACCCACUCCCGGCACGGGGAGGUAGUGACGAAAAAUAACGAUACGGGACUCAUCCGAGGCCCCGUAAUCGGAAUGAGUACACUCUAAACCCUUUAACGAGGAUCAAUUGGAGGGCAAGUCUGGUGCCAGCAGCCGCGG
rnacentral:rRNA from 1 species